GAUGAACGCUGGCGGCGUGCCUAAUACAUGCAAGUCGAGCGAACGGACGAGAAGCUUGCUUCUCUAAUGUUAGCGGCGGACGGGUGAGUAACACGUGGAUAACCUACCUAUAAGACUGGGAUAACUUCGGGAAACCGGAGCUAAUACCGGAUGAUAUUUUGAACCGCAUGGUUCAAAAGUGAAAGACGGUCUUGCUGUCACUUAUAGAUGGAUCCGCGCUGCAUUAGCUAGUUGGUAAGGUAACGGCUUACCAAGGCAACGAUGCAUAGCCGACCUGAGAGGGUGAUCGGCCACACUGGAACUGAGACACGGUCCAGACUCCUACGGGAGGCAGCAGUAGGGAAUCUUCCGCAAUGGGCGAAAGCCUGACGGAGCAACGCCGCGUGAGUGAUGAAGGUCUUCGGAUCGUAAAACUCUGUUAUUAGGGAAGAACAUAUGUGUAAGUAACUGUGCACAUCUUGACGGUACCUAAUCAGAAAGCCACGGCUAACUACGU
rnacentral:rRNA from 1 species